rnacentral:misc_RNA from 1 species
UAGGGCAGUGGCGCAGAAGG